CAGGUAAAUCCGGUUCACUUUAACACUGAGGCGUGAYGACGAGGCACUACGGUGCUGAAGCAACAAAUGCCCUGCUUCCAGGAAAAGCCUCUAAGCAUCAGGUAACAUCAAAUCGUACCCCAAACCGACACAGGUGGUCAGGUAGAGAAUACCAAGGCGCUUGAGAGAACUCGGGUGAAGGAACUAGGCAAAAUGGUGCCGUAACUUCGGGAGAAGGCACGCUGACAYGUAGGUGAAGUGAUUUACUCAYGGAGCUGAAGUCAGUCGAAGAUACCAGCUGGCUGCAACUGUUUAUUAAAAACACAGCACUGUGCAAACACGAAAGUGGACGUAUACGGUGUGACGCCUGCCCGGUGCCGGAAGGUUAAUUGAUGGGGUCAGCGCAAGCGAAGCUCCUGAUCGAAGCCCCGGUAAACGGCGGCCGUAACUAUAACGGUCCUAAGGUAGCGAAAUUCCUUGUCGGGUAAGUUCCGACCUGCACGAAUGGCGUAAUGAUGGCCAGGCUGUCUCCACCCGAGACUCAGUGAAAUUGAACUCGCUGUGAAGAUGCAGUGUACCCGCGGCAAGACGGAAAGACCCCGUGAACCUUUACUAUAGCUUGACACUGAACAUUGAGCCUUGAUGUGUAGGAUAGGUGGGAGGCUUUGAAGYGUGGACGCCAGUCUGCAUGGAGCCGACCUUGAAAUACCACCCUUUAAUGUUUGAUGUUCUAACGUGGACCCGUAAUCCGGGUUGCGGACAGUGUCUGGUGGGUAGUUUGACUGGGGCGGUCUCCUCCUAAAGAGUAACGGAGGAGCACGAAGGUUGGCUAAUCCUGGUCGGACAUCAGGAGGUUAGUGCAAUGGCAUAAGCCAGCUUGACUGCGAGCGUGACGGCGCGAGCAGGUGCGAAAGCAGGUCAUAGUGAUCCGGUGGUUCUGAAUGGAAGGGCCAUCGCUCAACGGAUAAAAGGUACUCCGGGGAUAACAGGCUGAUACCGCCCAAGAGUUCAUAUCGACGGCGGUGUUUGGCACCUCGAUGUCGGCUCAUCACAUCCUGGGGCUGAAGUAGGUCCCAAGGGUAUGGCUGUUCGCCAUUUAAAGUGGUACGCGAGCUGGGUUUAGAACGUCGUGAGACAGUUCGGUCCCUAUCUGCCGUGGGCGCUGGAGAACUGAGGGGGGCUGCUCCUAGUACGAGAGGACCGGAGUGGACGCAUCACUGGUGUUCGGGUUGUCAUGCCAAUGGCACUGCCCGGUAGCUAAAUGCGGAAGAGAUAAGUGCUGAAAGCAUCUAAGCACGAAACUUGCCCCGAGAUGAGUUCUCCCUGAGACUUAGAGUCUCCUGAAGGAACGUUGAAGACGACGACGUUGAUAGGCCGGGUGUGUAAGCGCAGCGAUGCGUUGAGCUAACCGGUACUAAUGAACCGUGAGGCUUAACCUU
rnacentral:rRNA from 1 species